UAGGGAAUCUUCCGCAAUGGGCGAAAGCCUGACGGAGCAACGCCGCGUGAGUGAUGAAGGUCUUCGGAUCGUAAAACUCUGUUAUUAGGGAAGAACAAAUGUGUAAGUAACUAUGCACGUCUUGACGGUACCUAAUCAGAAAGCCACGGCUAACUACGUGCCAGCAGCCGCGGUAAUACGUAGGUGGCAAGCGUUAUCCGGAAUUAUUGGGCGUAAACCGCGCGUAGGCGGUUUUUUAAGUCUGAUGUGAAAGCCCACGGCUCAACCGUGGAGGGUCAUUGGAAACUGGAAAACUUGAGUGCAGAAGAGGAAAGUGGAAUUCCAUGUGUAGCGGUGAAAUGCGCAGAGAUAUGGAGGAACACCAGUGGCGAAGGCGACUUUCUGGUCUGUAACUGACGCUGAUGUGCGAAAGCGUGGGGAUCAAACAGG
rnacentral:rRNA from 1 species